CGCACUAGUUCAGAGUUUGAUCCUGGCUCAGAGCGAACGCUGGCGGCAGGCUUAACACAUGCAAGUCGAGCGGACCUUUCGGGGUCAGCGGCGGACGGGUGAGUAACGCGUGGGAACGUGCCUUCCGGUUCGGAAUAACCCUGGGAAACUAGGGCUAAUACCGGAUACGCCCUUAUGGGGAAAGGUUUACUGCCGGAAGAUCGGCCCGCGUCUGAUUAGCUAGUUGGUGGGGUAACGGCCCACCAAGGCGACGAUCAGUAGCUGGUCUGAGAGGAUGAUCAGCCACACUGGGACUGAGACACGGCCCAG
rnacentral:rRNA from 1 species